ensembl:lncRNA
ACGUGAUGAACGAACGACUCGAACCUGAAGACUCCAGACGUGAGCAAAUCGUUUCUGUUUCCGGGGAACAGACGUGACAAUUGUGACGUGACAAAACAAUGAACGACUCGGAUCUGGAGCGCGCUAGGACCUCUCGUCCUUAAUUACUCCCUCACGCGCGCUAAUUAAUUUGCAAUGGAUGAGCAGGUGCGCUUGAGAAGGUAGUUGUAGGUUCCUGGUGAGCGCGUGUCUGGUUGUCUGCCAUGGCCAGAACCGGAUUCUAUGAUUCCAGGACACUGCUGGACCGCAAGGCAGAAGAAGCCCGAUUCCCUUUGCGCGCGUGGGCGAACGCAUGCACUGUGCGGGAGCGAGGGGUGCUGAGUGAGGGAGAGGAGCAGAAACAGCAGCCCAAAGCAGACAAUACAGAGCACAGAUGGGUAAACUUGCGACCUCUUUCUUCCAGCUAGAGUUAUCUGGUGUGAGUCCCUUUUGCAGCAAAAACUGCAACUAAACAUUUAUGGUACUUCCACAAUAUUUCUACUGAAUUAAGGUC